rnacentral:rRNA from 1 species
GACGAACGCUGGCGGCGUGCUUAACACAUGCAAGUCGAACGCUGAAGCUCAGCUUUUGUUGGGUGGAUGAGUGGCGAACGGGUGAGUAACACGUGACUAACCUGCCCCCUUCUUUGGGAUAACGCCCGGAAACGGGUGCUAAUACUGGAUAUUCACUGGUCUUCGCAUGGGGGUUGGUGGAAAGGGUUUUUCUGGUGGGGGAUGGGCUCGCGGCCUAUCAGCUUGUUGGUGGGGUGAUGGCCUACCAAGGCUUUGACGGGUAGCCGGCCUGAGAGGGUGACCGGUCACAUUGGGACUGAGAUACGGCCCAGACUCCUACGGGAGGCAGCAGUGGGGAAUAUUGCACAAUGGGCGCAAGCCUGAUGCAGCGACGCCGCGUGAGGGAUGGAGGCCUUCGGGUUGUGAACCUCUUUCGCUCAUGGUCAAGCCGCAACAAUGGUUGUGGUGAGGGUAGUGGGUAAAGAAGCGCCGGCUAACUACGUG